rnacentral:sRNA from 1 species
GAAUAUGAUACUGUUUAAGAGAAAAUGAAAAGGAUUACCAGUUUUUUAUAGUAUUUGAUUUUGUGAUGAUCUAUUAUAGCAAUAUUUAAUUUAGAAAUCCAAGAAAAUAAUUUUUGAAAUUUUCUACAUCUCUUCACAUUUUGAUGUAUCAUGGAAUCUUAGGUUUUAAUGUUGGUGAGUGAGGUGGGUGGAUCACCUAAGGUCAGGAGUUCGGGACCAGCCUGGCCAACAUGGUGAAACCCUGUCUCUA